UGCCUUACACAUGCAAGUCGAACGCGAAAGCGGGGCAACCCGCAAGUAGAGUGGCGAACGGGUGAGUAAUACAUCGGAACAUUUCCAGUAGCGGGGGAUAACCUGUCGAAAGAUAGGCUAAUACCGCAUACGACCUACGGGUGAAAGCGGAGGACCGCAAGGCUUCGCACUAUUGGAGUGGCCGAUGUCGGAUUAGCUAGUUGGCGGGGUAAAAGCCCACCAAGGCGACGAUCCGUAGCUGGUCUGAGAGGACGAUCAGCCACACUGGAACUGAGACACGGUCCAGACUCCUACGGGAGGCAGCAGUGGGGAAUUCUGGACAAUGGGCGCAAGCCUGAUCCAGCCAUGCCGCGUGAGUGAAGAAGGCCUUCGGGUUGUAAAGCUCUUUCGGUGGGGACGAAAAGGUUCGUGCUAAUACCACGGACUAAUGACGGUACCCGAAGAAUAAGCACCGGCUAACUACGUGCCAGCAGCCGCGGUAAUACGUAGGGUGCAAGCGUUAAUCGGAAUUACUGGGCGUAAAGCGUGCGCAGGCGGUUGUGUAAGUCUGUCGUGAAAUCCCCGGGCUCAACCUGGGAAUUGCGAUGGAGACUGCACGGCUAGAGUCUGGCAGAGGGGGGUAGAAUUCCACGUGUAGCAGUGAAAUGCGUAGAGAUGUGGAGGAACACCGAUGGCGAAGGCAGCCCCCUGGGUCAAGAUUGAC
rnacentral:rRNA from 1 species